GGGGGGGGGGGGGGGGGGGGGGGGGGGGGGGGGGGGGGGGGGGGGGGGCCGGUUGGGGGUGCGGGGGUGGCGGAGGGGUGGGUGACACGUGGGUAACCUGCCCUUGAGUUCGGGGUAACUUCCGGAAACUGGGUCUCAUACCGGAUCGGAAUCCUUGCUGCAUGGUGGGGGUUGGACCUCUUCGGCGGUUUUGGAUGGACUCGCGGCUUAGUCGCUUUUUGGUGGGGUAGUGGCUUACCAAGGCUUUGACGGGUAGCCGGCCUGAGAGGGCGACCGGCCACAUUGGGACUGAGAUACGGCCCAGACUCCUACGGGAGGCAGCAGGGGGGAAUAUUGCACAAUGGGCGGAAGCCUGAUGCAGCAACGCCGCGUGCGGGAUGACGGCCUUCGGGUUGUAAACCGCUUUCAGCAGGGGCGAAGCUUGUGGUGACGGUACCUGCAGAAGAAGCACCGGCUAACUACGUG
rnacentral:rRNA from 1 species